CCUACGGGAGGCAGCAGUAGGGAAUCUUCCACAAUGGGCGAAAGCCUGAUGGAGCAACGCCGCGUGGGUGAAGAAGGUCUUCGGAUCGUAAAACCCUGUUGUUAGAGAAGAAAGUGCGUGAGAGUAACUGUUCACGUUUCGACGGUAUUUAACCAGAAAGCCACGGCUCACUACGUGCCAGCAGCCGCGGUAAUACGUAGGUGGCAAGCGUUAUCCGGAUUUAUUGGGCGUAAAGGGAACGCAGGCGGUCUUUUAAGUCUGAUGUGAAAGCCUUCGGCUUAACCGGAGUAGUGCAUUGGAAACCGGGAGACUUGAGUGCAGAAGAGGAGAGUGGAACUCGAUGUGUAGCGGUGAAAUGCGUAGAUAUAUGGCAGAACACCAGUGGCGAAAGCGGCUUUCUGGUCUGUAUCUGACGCUGAGGUUCGAAAGCGUGGGUAGCAAACAGGAUUAGAUACCCUAGUAGUC
rnacentral:rRNA from 1 species